UACGUAGGGUGCAAGCGUUAAUCGGAAUUACUGGGCGUAAAGCGUGCGCAGGCGGCUUUGCAAGUCAGAUGUGAAAUCCCCGGGCUUAACCUGGGAACUGCAUUUGUGACUGCAUCGCUAGAGUACGGUAGAGGGGGAUGGAAUUCCGCGUGUAGCAGUGAAAUGCGUAGAUAUGCGGAGGAACACCGAUGGCGAAGGCAAUCCCCUGGACCUGUACUGACGCUCAUGCACGAAAGCGUGGGGAGCAAACAGG
rnacentral:rRNA from 1 species